UACGGAGGAUGCAAGCGUUAUCCGGAAUCAUUGGGUUUAAAGGGUCCGUAGGCGGUCUUGUAAGUCAGUGGUGAAAGCCCAUCGCUCAACGGUGGAACGGCCAUUGAUACUGCUGGACUUGAAUUAUUAGGAAGUAACUAGAAUAUGUAGUGUAGCGGUGAAAUGCUUAGAGAUUACAUGGAAUACCAAUUGCGAAGGCAGGUUACUACUAAUGGAUUGACGCUGAUGGACGAAAGCGUGGGUAGCAAACAGG
rnacentral:rRNA from 1 species